rnacentral:rRNA from 1 species
AUCUAAGUACCCCGAGGAAAAGAAAUCAACCGAGAUUCCCCCAGUAGCGGCGAGCGAACGGGGAGGAGCCCAGAGCCUGAAUCAGCAUGUGUGUUAGUGGAAGCGUCUGGAAAGGCGCGCGAUACAGGGUGACAGCCCCGUACACAAAAGCGCAUGUGCUGUGAGCUCGAUGAGUAGGGCGGGACACGUGGUAUCCUGUCUGAAUAUGGGGGGACCAUCCUCCAAGGCUAAAUACUCCUGACUGACCGAUAGUGAACCAGUACCGUGAGGGAAAGGCGAAAAGAACCCCGGCGAGGGGAGUGAAAAAGAACCUGAAACCGUGUACGUACAAGCAGUGGGAGCACAGGUUUACCUGUGUGACUGCGUACCUUUUGUAUAAUGGGUCAGCGACUUAUAUUCUGUAGCAAGGUUAACCGUAUAGGGGAGCCGUAGGGAAACCGAGUCUUAAC